rnacentral:lncRNA from 1 species
GAGCAUAUUCAUCCUCUCUGUCAGGCUGCAACCAACAGAAGAAGGGCAUUGGCACAGAUGGCCGACUACGGACGAAAAUGGUAAGCUAAGCAUGCAAUUAUGAACCUUACUUUGUGAUCAGCUGAUAAAGGCAACGUUUGCUUGCCGCGACAGAGCACUGCCCUCGAAUCUCCACAGUUUGCAACGAUAAUGUGAGAGGAACAAAUAACGGCCACAACAGAGGUUGAUCCCACUGUUUCUGGGGCAACGGGUUCUGCACAGCAAUCGUUGCCACUGCCGGCGGAUCCAUGGGCCAUCCCUC